UUAGGCACAACCAAAAAGGAUUUACUUUGAUAGAGUAAAAUAUAAAGCCUAUG
rnacentral:tRNA from 1 species